CGCACGGGUGAGUAACACGUGAGUGACCUGCCUUUUAGACUGGAACAACUUACCGAAAGGUGAGCUAAUGCCGGAUGAGUUAUAUAAGUGCAUGUUUAUAUAGGAAAAGUUGGGGAGACCUGACGCUGAAAGAUGGACUCGCGUCCCAUUAGCUAGUUGGUAGGGUAAUGGCCUACCAAGGCGACGAUGGGUAGCCGGCCUGAGAGGGUGGCCGGCCACAUUGGGACUGAGACACGGCCCAAACUCCUACGGGAGGCAGCAG
rnacentral:rRNA from 1 species